rnacentral:tRNA from 1 species
AAGGGUAUAGUUUAAUUGGUAAAACAGUUGACUUCAAAUCAACCAUUAAGAGUUCAAGUCUUUUUAUCCUUG